rnacentral:lncRNA from 1 species
AAGUCGCGACAACGGACACCACUCCACUCUCUGUAACAAACUCCACGUGGCCCCGAACGGCCCACUACCAGACAGUUACGGAUGUCGCUGUCAAUCGGUUACGCUCUCCCAUCUAUAAAAGAGACCCCCCAGAUACGUUCUCCUCUGAGCUCUAAACACUAUCUCUAAACUCUGCUAAAAUCUCAUUUGAGUUCUCCAUUUUUGUUGAAG